CACGUAGGGGGCGAGCGUUGUCCGGAUUCAUUGGGCGUAAAGAGCUCGUAGGCGGCUCAGUAAGUCGGGUGUGAAACCCUCAGGCUCAACCUGGAGAGGUCACUCGAGACUGUUAUGACUAGAGUCCGGUAGGGGACCACGGAAUUCCUGGUGUAGCGGUGAAAUGCGCAGAUAUCAGGAGGAACACCAGUGGCGAAGGCGGUGGUCUGGGCCGGAACUGACGCUGAGGAGCGAAAGCGUGGGUAGCAAACAGG
rnacentral:rRNA from 1 species